UCCCCGAUAGCUCAACGGUAGAGCGGCUGACUGUUAAUCAGUAGGUUCCAGGUUCGAAUCCUGGUCGGGGAGCCA
rnacentral:tRNA from 6 species